CGCAGUCCUGCCUCCGGGUCAAGUCUGAGGCAAUUUAGGCUGUACUGAGGCUUUGGUUUUGCCAAGACUGGUAUCAUACAGGUGACCCCUUCGUACGCGGGCCUCUCACUGUUGUGGCCUCUCCCGUUGCGGAGCACAGUCUCUGGACGCGCAGGCUCAGCGGCCAUGGCUCACGGGCCCAGCCGCUCCGUGGCAUGUGGGAUCUUCCCGGACUGGGGCACGAACCUGUGUCCCCUGCAUCAGCAGGCGGACUCUCAACCACUGCGCCACCAGGGAAGCCCCUAGAGUGCUGUGGUGAAUGCCACCAAGUCCAUGGGUCUGGCAACGAUAGGAAAAUGAAGAUGGAUUUCUUGGAGCCCAGCUAACGGCAAUGGUGAAGUGGACACCUUUCCCUUGGUUAAGAGAAAUCCAUGGUUUGUUGUGUUUGCCAAGAACAAAAAUGUUGGAAAUCCAGAUUAGCAGAGCUGUCACCAUUGACGUUUUUCACGUCAACCACAUCCAAAGGGCCAGGAUAUCUCUCUGUUGGUGAUCACAUCAGUUCUUCCCAGUGGAUUGUUCCAUAAUAAUUGCUGUGUGUGGGUAGCUGUGGUGAAUUAGCAUUGAACAGAGGGGGACCCGCCCAUCUUAUUCCUACCACAGGAAGCCCACCUACACAUCUGGCAGCUGACAAGACAUAUUUCAAGAGGGCAAGAAGUUCCUGUCCAAGGUUACUUUGCUGAAAAAUAGAAUCGGAAAUAACAGGGGAAAGAUGGGACUCAGUGCCAUACCAGCAGCAGCUUCCAGCUCUUAUCACCCAUUCCUAGAUUACUGCAUCCAAGCUAUUCUGCCUCAGGCUGCUAUCCCUAACCAAUUCAUCCUACACAUCACUGCCAGAUUAAUAAUUCUAGACCAGGGCUUCCCUGGUGGCACAGUGGUUAAGAAUCUGCCUGCCAAUGCAGGGGACAUGGGUUCAAGCACUGGUCCAGGAAGAUCCCACAUGCCAUGGAGCAGCUAAGCCCAUGCACCACAACUACUGAGCCUGCGCUCUAGAGCCCACAAGCCACAAUUACUGAGCCUGCAAGCCACAACUACUGAACCCACGUGCCACAGUUACUGAAGCCUGCGUGCCUAGAGCCUGUGCUCUGCAACAAGAGAAGCCACCACAAUGAGAAGCCCGAACACCUCAACAGAGUUGCCCCCGCUUGCCACAACUAGAGAAAGCCCACGUACAGCAAUGAAGACCCAACACAGCCAAAAAUAAAUAAAUUUUAAAAAAUAAAUAAAUAAUUCUAGACCAGAUCUUUGUGUUAACUCUGCUGCACAGAAAACAUCCAUGGUUUCCCAUCCACUAGCUACAAGUUAAAGUCCAAAUUCCUGAGUGAUCCAUAAUCUGGCCCCACUCAAUCUUCCAAAUUUUCUAUCCUUACCUUCUAACACUCCCUCACGGUGAGCUAGCUAAACUGAUUUUCUGAAAUCCUACGGAACUUACUGUCUAUAUUAUU